GCUGGAAUGGCCGAGUCGUUAAGGCGAUAGAUUUGAAUCCCAGUCGAUAAUCAUCUAUUACUCUCUGAGUGCGUAGGUUCAAAUCCUGCUUCCAGCG